rnacentral:rRNA from 1 species
UACGAAGGGGGCUAGCGUUGCUCGGAACACUGGGCGUAAAGGGUGCGUAGGCGGGUCUUUAAGUCAGGGGUGAAAUCCUGGAGCUCAACUCCAGAACUGCCUUUGAUACUGAAGAUCUUGAGUUCGGGAGAGGUGAGUGGAACUGCGAGUGUAGAGGUGAAAUUCGUAGAUAUUCGCAAGAACACCAGUGGCGAAGGCGGCUCACUGGCCCGAUACUGACGCUGAGGCACGAAAGCGUGGGGAGCAAACAGGG